ensembl:lncRNA
GCGUCUCUCCCGCAGUCUCUCCCUGAUGCUCUGUCCGGCCGCCUUCCUUGCUUCUCAGAUGCGUGUGACUAGAUUGGGCCCACCUGGGUAACCAGGCUACUUUCCCAUCUCCAGGUCCACACCCUUCAUUCCACCUGCUGUCCUUUGGCCGGAUGGAAACUGAAAGAAACUUCAGUGGAAGCCGAGGCACAGACGGGGAGCUGGAGAGAGUCAGGUUCUGGGUUCACCAUAUCUUCCUAAUGCUGGGUGUCAGAUGGGGGGUCUGCGGGUCUGCAGCUUCGACCUAGAAGAUUCUGGAGCACAUGACGUUGAGAACCGUGUAGCCAAGAAUUCCUGACUAGACCACAGAUCCAGGAAGGUUGGAGAUGGUGCUCCCCCUGCUGCUGUCAGAGCUUCUUCGGGGCUCCUGCUCUCAGCUGCCCCUGUCGAGGGGGCUUCACAUGCAGGGGAGCUCAGACAAGGGCGUCCAGGGUGGAGGGGGCUCCUGACGUCAUGGCCCACGAGCCACAGUUAAUGGCAUUUUCAGUCUGGAGCUGAGGAGCUGGGGUGGGGACACUUGGAGCUGAAGGCGCCCACCUGCAGGGCCAUCUUGCUGGAGAGGAGCUGGCUUCAGCAGGGAGACCCCCAAAUGCAGAACCAGGACUGAGGGGCACAAGUUCCAGGAGAUUUUACUUCAAGACGGUGAAGAACGUUGUGACGGCUGGAGCUGUCCAACGGCCGGAGACGUGGGCUCCAGGGCGGGCUGGCCGGGCCGAGGCUCUGCCCCGCUCUUCUCGGUUGUCCCAAAGAUGUAAUCCCUUCUGCCUAAGCUUUCUCGUCAAUAACAUGGGGACAACAGCAGCAGUCACUCAUGGAGAUGAAGCGAGUUAGUACACGACAGUGCGUGGAGCUGUGUGCAGCCAGCGUUCAAUAAGUGUCAGCUGGAAUUGCUGUUGCAUCCCUAUCACCGAGGAUGGAAGGACUUGCCCUAUGGGCUGAUGGACCUCCCACGAUGCUGGAACACUCCUUGUUGAUUUGAGGGGCAUCUGGAAGACCCUUCCACCCUAAAGUAAGGUUUCCAGUUGUCUGCUAUUGUCAUGGAUCAAAAUGGGUUUUGCCUCCCAGCCUUGGCCUCUCUGGAAUGUCUCCUAGGACCUGGGGAAUAAAUGGGAAGAGUCAGUGUUUAGACCCAGCCCGGCCGUGGUGGUUCUCCCGCCGUCAGGUUGCCAUUGGUCAGAUGCCCAUCACUCGGACAUCACCAAGUCACCUAGAAUUCUUAGGCCUUUGAGAAAAAGUGUGCCGUGCAGGUCAGUGGUGUGACUAUGGGGCCAACAUCUCUGCAGGGAUCUAGGCUUGGGGACCGGAUGCAUUUCACCCCGUGGACACCACUAGCAGUUCCCUCUGCGACGGGCUCUGUUUGGUGAGAGCCUGUAGAGACGGAGAUGGCAGGACAGCGCCUGAGGAUGAGGAGGGCGAGGAUGGAGGAGAAAAUGACGAAGAUGACAGUCCUUACCACUGUCACUCACCCUUUACGAGCGCUCACAGUGUCUCAGAUACAACAUGCAAUGUUGCAGCAAACAUUGAGGCAGAUGCUGCCGUCUCCACUUCGUUUACAAGUGGACCGAGGCUUGUGGAGUUGAAGCUCCAUUUUCAAGACUACCAAGCAAGCAGGAGGUAGAGACAGGAUUAGGACUCAGUGUGGGUGUCCACGCCCUUAACCACUGAGCAAGACUGCCUGGACCAGCGACCUUGGUCCCUUGCUCAGGUAAGACUAGCUCCUUGAGAGAGAAGGACCCAUGUGUGGCACAAGCUUGGUGCCAAUGAAGUGAGUUGGAGAGAGGGGCCGUGGAGG